rnacentral:rRNA from 1 species
UACGGAGGGUGCGAGCGUUGUCCGGAUUUAUUGGGUUUAAAGGGUGCGUAGGCGGCUCUGUAAGUCUGGGGUGAAAGCCCGUUGCUCAACAACGGAACUGCCCUGGAAACUGCCGAGCUUGAGUACAGACGAGGGUGGCGGAAUGGAUACUGUAGCGGUGAAAUGCAUAGAUAGUAUCCAGAACCCCCGAUUGCGAAGCAGCUGCCUAGACUGUAACUGACGCUGAGGCACGAAAGCGUGGGGAGCGAACAGG